rnacentral:piRNA from 3 species
GGGCUGGAGAGAUGGCUCAGCCGU